ACUAGCUAUAUAUACACCUCAUCUUCUUCAAUUCAAGCUGAUAAUUAAUCAACUUGGCGCUAUUUAGUUGCGGCUUAAAUUCCCCUGUUGGUUGAACGUUUGUUUAUAUACACAUCUAUCUAUACUCCAGAGAUGAGCUUCUAAAAGAACACAAAAUCUAAUCUAUAUAAAUUGAAGCCAACACAUGCAACAUGUACAUCACGUACAGCUAAAGAUCGGUUUCUCGCCUCUGCCAACGUGCACCUCCUUCAGUUACACCCGUACACAGCUGCUAAGUCUCUAAGAGCACCUCUAGCAAAGUCAUCGAAACCGCAACCUCCAUGACCAAUUUAACAAGGAUCAGACUAUGUUACAUCUAGAUGUGAGAUAAUAUCUCACAUCUAACAAUGUCAUAUAAGUAUGAUGUCAGCACCACCUCACUUAAUCAUUUGUUUGUUUGUUUGAUUUUGUUUGUCAAAGCACAAAACAAAAAGCAUGCCUAGUUGCGAGUCGAGGGGUUGGUUUUGCAAUGGGGAGAACUAUGAGCCCAGUUGCAAGUCGAAGGUAGACUUGCAAUUGGGACAACUACGAAACUACGAGCUCAGUUGCGAAUCAAUGGUCGACUUGCAACUGGGACGACAUCAAAACUAUGGGCCUGGUUGCGACUCGAGGGUGGACAUGAAACUGGGAUGAAAAACAAACAUAUACAGUUGCGACUCAAAUGUGGACUUGCAACUGGGACACUAUGAAACUAAGAGCCUAGUUGCGAGUCGAGUGUGGACUUGCAACUGGGAUGAAAGAUAAACACUUCUGUUCUCAAGAUAAAAACCGUAGGCCCAAUUACGAGUAAAGGGUGGACUUGCAACUGAGAUGAAAAUCAAAACACAUCCCAGUUGCGAGUUGAGGAUGGACUUGCAACUAGGACAACAACAAACUAUGGGCGCAAUUGCGAGUCGAGGGUGGACUUGCAACUGGGAUGAAAAACAAAACACAAACCUAGUUGCGAGUCAAAGGUUGGCUUGCAAAUGAGACACUACGAAAACUACGAGCCCAGUUGCGAGUCAAGGAUCGACCUGCAACUGGGAUGAAAAAUAAAUACAUGCGUAGUUGCAAGUUUGAGGGUAGACUUGCAACUAAGACAACUAAUUUACGAUACGAGUUGCAAGUUAAGGGUGCACAACUCCAUUGGGUGGACGAAAAGGGAGCCGAUGACGAAAUGCGAGUGGAUGAAGGAUGGAACAGUUCCUCCAUUGGAUGGAUGAUACACUCAUUUAGCUGGAGUGUCAAAACACACGCCAUGGACAAACAAAAAACAGCUCGCUAGCCAAUAACGUGAAAAAACAAAAAAGACAACAGCCCGCCACACUCGUAAGGAGCUGUACACGGCCACCAUGCGCGACAGCGAGGUGCGAGCCAGCACACGAAUGAAACAGAACGGUUUGUGCAAAUCUAAAGGCAAAGGAUCCAAUGGUAUAGAACUUAGAUGUGAGAUAGCUAUCUCACAUCUAGAUGUGAAAUAGCAAAACCGAUUUAACAAACCCUUUAGAAUUUUUCCAUACGAUACUACCGUUUGAUACUACCUUCAUAGUAUAUGGUAUCACAAGUUAGUAUCUUUUAUGCAUGAGCUCAUAUUUUUACAUGCUUCAUAUUAGCAUCUCAUUUCAUAUGAUACGGUACCAUGCCUGGUCGAGCUCGCGAGGAACCACGCUGGUUCACUAGAGCACUAGCCACCCGCCGCUCCAAGGAGGGUGAUAGACGGGCAUCAGGUGAUGCUACUGUGCAAUAGAGGACCCGUGUCGACCGCUUUGGUCCGGACCUGGAGAACCCACAAGCAUAAUGGCGAUGAGUUGGAGGUAAAAUAUGGAGCAUCGUCGGUGCGACUUGAGAGCUGCGAAGACGAAGGCUUGCGGCGAUGUCUUCUAGUGCAUCAUGCCCGCCUCCGCAUUCCCAGCGGUGCGUGUGGCUGAUGACUAUGGCCUUGUCGGGAUGGACAGGGUGGAUGGUGCUGCAGCAGGCGGCUUAGCACGGCGGGUGUGACACGGUGGCUCCUCUGCCCAUGCUCAAGGUCCUAUCGAAGAUCCCCUUCCCCUAGUCCCUCCAUGUGCAACUAGAUUCUGACUGGAUUCGUGGAGGUGGCACUCGAUUUCCGGUGCCAGUGCUCGAUUUCGGGCGAGGUGGUUGAGGGAAAUUUCCCUUUUGCCACACCCAUAUUUAGUGGUGGGGAGAGGAAAUUUGGAGUGCACUCCCUAUGUUUUUGGAGGUAAAAUAUGGAGCUCCCUCCAAUUUUAUUGGCGAGACUAGAAUGGAGAAUUUGUUAGACUGUGUUUUUGUUCCAUUGAUUGGGGUAUGGAGAAUAUGCUAAAGUAGGUUUUUUUUGUUGGAUUCCGAUUUUCAAAAUGAAAUCUUCGAAACCAUCGUCGAAAUUAUGAACAGUUCCUGCCAUUGUGUUCCUCGCGUUGAGAUCUUUGAAAAUAGAUCCAUUGUUAAUAGGUUUCGGCGAAGUUUUUUUCCAGAGCAACGUGUACUCCUACUGAGAACUAACUUAUAUUCUCUGAAAUAACAUGUGUGUCCUUCCAGAUAUAACAUACCUGCACUCUGUAUUCCUCAUAACUAGUGUACAGCAUGCGGCAACAUGCACUCCUCGCAUAUUGCAACUUGUACUCUCGCUCAGUGUACCAUGUACUUCCCGGGCACUAUGACCUGUGUUCCUCACCCAAUGCGACAUGUACUCCCUAGUACAACAACCUAUACUACUUGCACGGUCAGGGUAAGUUGUGUCCAAUCAGAGCACAUUCAGUUCUUAGAUAGUGUUGUAAUGGCUAAUUCGAAUCUUAGCACAUUCGGGUCAUUGCAUCCAGUCAGGUUAAGAAGAACACGAUGAUACUGAAACAUCCAAUGAAAUUGCAAGGGGAUGAGGUCAGUGACCUACGCAAAAGUUGCUCACAUAUUGAAACCACUCUACAAGGAAGGUGAUGAUAAUCUUGUUUACUUCCCCGAGCUCAUACAAGUCCUUCGAGGAGCAACUAGGCAAUUGGUUGCACAACAUGGGUUCAUUGACGAUUGUGGAACCAGUUGGUCAUCAUACGUUUAUCAAGGCGCUGAACAAUUUGUCUUUCGAUUAUUUUUUUUGUGAUGAUGAGAUCCUGGUAUCCCUUCCGGGGAACCUAUUUUCCCCCAACCUGGCUAAUUGACCUUCUUUCCACUUCCCAAAAAACUAAGUCCGAUUACAGGAAGAUAGGGGACGAGAAAGAAGGGAAAGCUAGUUGGCGCACUAAGUGAAAACCAGUUAGAGAUGGUAAACAGCUACAACGAGGUAAAAACCUAUUAUAGUCAUUUCAAACAAAGUGGAAAAGAUAAAUCCCGAACAUUCGGAUUUUUCCCAUGGCAAAUCAAACGUUUUUAUGGAAAUUUUAGUUGACGCGACGAUGGAAAGUUUAGUUGGCAAACAUGGCAAUUUUCUGGCAAAAAACAAACUACGGGCGGAAUUUCCAUGCUUACCAACUAAACUUGCCAUCCUCACAUCAACUAAGUUGCCAUAAGAAAAGCUCAAAAUGCCAUGUGCAAAAUCCAAAUGUUUGGGACUUAUCAGGGUCCAAAAAAAAAACCUAUUAUAGCACAGUUGUAAGCCAUGCGACCAUGCACCGUAGUGGUAAGAUGUCUGGAAGCCCACUGUUGGUCGAGCUUAUCAGGUUUAUCUGCAAUGUUCUUGAACAUGCUAAGGAGCAUGAAGGAGAAGAUGACAAUUAUGAUGACCACGAGCUAGAGUUGUAUUUUGAACGCUCCAUCCUCCCUUAUCCUAAAGAUCUAUCAUAUGGGAGUUUAAGAGUAGACAUGAUUUCUUUUGAUCACAAGCAAGCUAUUAUAUUCAAGCAAGACCCAAGUUCUUAUUACUUUUAGAGGAUGUGCGUCUCAUAGAUUAGAUAGGUGCUUGUAAGCCUUUAUUGUUUGUGAAGGAGCCCAAAAGUUUGUGAAGACCUCGGAGAUCAUCUACUUCAUGUGAAAAUCUAUGCCGAGCGAGGCUUAGACCUUGGGGGUUAGCCAUGGUGUAAUAGGUGGGUGAAGACCUUGGCUGUCAACCUUUGUGUUCAAGUGGCUGAGACCUAUGCUUAGGGCUUUGUACCUGAAGCCCUACCAAUGAGGGCGUACGAUUGCGAUAACAAUCUCGGGAUACAUCCUUGUGUUUGCGAUCUCUACCCCUAGCCCAUUAACUUUGUGCAUGAUUUUUCUUGCUCUUCUAUUUUUUAUACGUGCAUAGUGCAUGACCUAGGGUUGAAGAUGAAGUUUUUUUGGAGGGGUGCCAACAGGACAAGUUACUAUAAGGUGGGUGCACUGAAUCAAAUUACUGAGUCAACCGGCGCGGCAUCUUCACUGCUAUUGGCCAACGUACGACCGAGCAGCAUGCAGAGGAGGGAUGCCGAGGCAGCAAAUUAAUCAAGGAUCAGACGACGAGCUGCAACAACGUACGAGCGAUCACCUCUCCAUGCCCAGCGCUCGACCACAACAGCCCGGUUGCACCUGGUCUUGUAUGCCCUAGAGCAUGCAGCUGAUCUAUCUGGAACAAGACCAGCAAGGUACGUACCAACGAACGAAUGUGGCCGGCGUUGCUGCGUGCGGAUUGGAUCGAUCUGAAGUGAUUCUCUCAUUUCUCCUCAUCCUGCUUCUUCUUCAUCCUGCUUCUUCUUCUGUUUUUCUUUCUCCUUCUGUUUGGCUUCUUAAUUUAUACUUUGAUGUGCUUUUGUUCCUCCCUCUGCUUUCUUCUCUACCGAUCUUAUUCUUUAACAACUGGUCCUUGCACUCCUUUCAGCACGUUCUUAUAUUCCUCUCAUCUCACCUCAUGUGUUUCUCGAUGAGGCUACGUAUGUAUUCAACCACUUCAGGUCUGGAGACCGAGUGCUUUUCACUUCCAAUAAUAUUUAAUAAGUUUCACAUAUUCCAUUCAUUUUGGUAUAGAUAGCAAAAAUAAUUGUCUUUCGGUCAUAAUAUUUCAACUGUUGCAGUAGUACACACAAUUAAGAAAAUAAUCUUUUAGAUCAAAAUUUUGACAUAUUCGGUUGGGAAUCCAAGUACCAUUUCAGUUCUGCUUUGCCCAACGGAAUAAUUGGGAUUCGGUGGAUAUUUGUUGAUUUCAGCUAUGGCCGAAAUAUUUCUAAAAUUGAAACCAAAACCAUUGAGACUGGUUUGGUUUCACCGGAGGGCUUACUUUGACGCUAUGCUUUAGGUCACCAGGAUGCAUUUUCCAUAGGCUAUAGUAAAUGCAUUUAGUUCGCAAGCUGGUGGUAUUUUGAGUUCAUUGUCAAAGGAAAAAAAAACUUGAACGGGGUGCCUGUGCAUACCGCAUAUGUUUUUUUUUUUUACAGUGUGCAUGCAGCAUAUGUUGGUUUGCUAUUUUGCCUCAUUUCUUCUUGUGGAUUUGUGCUGUUUUUCUUUUUUACAGGAUAACCUCUCCAGUUCAGUCAUUAUUAGUCCUGCCAUUUUUGCAGAUAACACCGGUCAUUUGCGUGCAUCGGAAUAGAGCAUGCACAAACAAACAAACAAAACCUCGCUUGGGAGAUAAACCAUACUUGUUUGUGUUUUGUUACAAAACAAAGAACACAAGUGUCGAAGGUUACAAAUCAUGCAGCCUUAUAUAACCCGUGCCAGAAUCAUGUAACGGACAUGGCUUAAAAAUCUAAACAUGCAACAUAUUGUAUGACCAAUAGCUAACAGAAAGAUUCAUGAACAUAUAUGUACUCUCCUUUCAACACAUCAUUUUUCGUUCGGCUAGCAACCGAUGAAGGCCAGUUUGAGUGCUAGCUGUGUACGUGCGUCUGUCCAGUGCUUGCAUCACAGCGUAAGAGAACUUCAUUGAGACUGCAUCAUCAAGGAGCAGGAUCACGUCAUCAUCGUCAUUCUCCCAUUAUUGGUUCUUGCUGAAAAGUAUUGAUCAGCGUCGUCGGGCUGGGGCAACAGGAACAACCUUAUGCAUUAAAGUAAAGUAUGGGGGAGGGAAAAGCCAGCAGGAAAGAGUGUGUUUUUUCUGCACCCAGGUUCAUUGCACCCAUGAUGAACCGUAAAAAAACUCUGCAACUUUGUGGCUUCGAUUAUGACCAAAUUUUUAUGUGCUUGCAAAGUUUGGUGGCCAAGUGACAUUCGAGGAUCACUUAUGUGGACUGUUUGAGCAGAAUUUGUAUUUUAUUUGUAUGGAGCUUAUUUGAUGUUAUUUGGUUGUGCUCAAACUUUUUUGAUUUUUUUUGCUAUAUGUUCUGACUUUACUGUUCAUCAUGGGUGCAAUGCCGUGGCCCCUUGGGUGUAGCCACAACUUUUCCGCCAGGAAAAACGGGAAAGAAACGAAAACUGAAAGAA